UACGAAGGGGCUAGCGUUGUUCGGAUUUACUGGGCGUAAAGCGCACGUAGGCGGAUAUUUAAGUCAGGGUGAAAUCCCAGAGCUCAACUCUGGAACUGCCUUUGAUACUGGGUAUCUUGAGUAUGGAAGAGGUAAGUGGAAUUGCGAGUGUAGAGGUGAAAUUCGUAGAUAUUCGCAGGAACACCAGUGGCGAAGGCGGCUUACUGGUCCAUAACUGACGCUGAGGUGCGAAAGCGUGGGGAGCAAACAGG
rnacentral:rRNA from 1 species